AUCCCGGAAGUUCACUGCUCUGAGCCAAGGUCCCCGCGGGACCGCACACCCACUCCUGUGCAGCUGUGGCGUCCGCCGAGGAGGGAGGAGCCCCAACUUCCAGCUGCAGACGUGGCCUGUCCUGGCGGCUCCUACAGGGAAGGCGUGGGUGGAACUUGUUUCUUGGAGGACCGAGGACCACACAGGGGGACACAUGCUUCACAUGCAUCCAAUAUAUAUGUGGACAUUCUGGGAAAACUCGCUUGCUGGCUCUGAAUCCUGCAUCCGGCUUGUCAUCAUCUGACCCCC